rnacentral:rRNA from 1 species
CACGCCCUAAACGAUGGAUACUAGGCGUAAGAGGUAUCGACCCCUCUUGUGCCGCAGCUAACGCAUUAAGUAUCCCGCCUGGGGAGUACGGCCGCAAGGUUGAAACUCAAAUGAAUUGAC